rnacentral:rRNA from 1 species
CCUGACGCAGCGACGCCGCGUGAGUGAUGAAGGUUUUCGGACUGUAAAGCUCUGUUGUUUAGGACGAAAGUGCCUGUUGCGAACAGUUACAGGUAUUGACGGUACUAAACGAGGAAGCCACGGCUAACUACGUGCCAGCAGCCGCGGUAAUACGUAGGGAGCGAGCGUUGUCCGGAUUUACUGGGUGUAAAGGGUGCGUAGGCGGCUCUGCAAGUCAGGUGUGAAAACUAUGGGCUUAACUCAUAGAUUGCACUUGAAACUGUGGGGCUUGAGUGGAGCAGAGGCAGGCGGAAUUCCCGGUGUAGCGGUGAAAUGCGUAGAGAUCGGGAGGAACACCAGUGGCGAAGGCGGCCUGCUGGGCUUUAACUGACGCUGAGGCACGAAAGCAUGGGUAGCAAACAGGAUUAGAUACCCUGGUAGUCCAUGCCGUAAACGAUGAUUACUAGGUGUGGGGGGUCUGGCCCCCUCCGUGCCGGAGUUAACACAAUAAGUAAUCCACCUGGGGAGUACGGCCGCAAGGUUGAAACUCAAAGGAAUUGACGG